rnacentral:rRNA from 1 species
GACGAACGCUGGCGGCGUGCUUAACACAUGCAAGUCGAACGGAAAGGCCCCUUUGGGGGUACUCGAGUGGCGAACGGGUGAGUAACACGUGAGUAACCUGCCCUUGCCUUCGGGAUAACUUCAGGAAACUGGGGCUAAUACCGGAUAGGAAUCCUUGCUGCAUGGUGGGGGUUGGAAAGCUUCGGCGGUUUUGGAUGGACUCGCGGCUUAUCAGCUUGUUGGUGGGGUAGUGGCUUACCAAGGCUUUGACGGGUAGCCGGCCUGAGAGGGCGACCGGCCACAUUGGGACUGAGAUACGGCCCAGACUCCUACGGGAGGCAGCAGUGGGGAAUAUUGCACAAUGGGCGGAAGCCGGAUGCAGCAACGCCGCGUGCGGGAUGACGGCCUUCGGGUUGUAAACCGCUUUCAGCAGGGGCGAAGCUUGUGGUGACGGUACCUGCAGAAGAAGCACCGGCUAACUACGUG